rnacentral:rRNA from 1 species
AGUGAACGCUGGCGGUAGGCCUAACACAUGCAAGUCGAACGGCAGCACAGUAAGAGCUUGCUCUUACGGGUGGCGAGUGGCGGACGGGUGAGGAAUACAUCGGAAUCUACUUUUUCGUGGGGGAUAACGUAGGGAAACUUACGCUAAUACCGCAUACGACCUACGGGUGAAAGCAGGGGAUCUUCGGACCUUGCGCGAUUGAAUGAGCCGAUGUCGGAUUAGCUAGUUGGCGGGGUAAAGGCCCACCAAGGCGACGAUCCGUAGCUGGUCUGAGAGGAUGAUCAACCACACUGGAACUGAGACACGGUCCAGACUCCUACGGGAGGCAGCAGUGGGAAAUAUUGGACAAAGGGCGCAAGCCUGAUCCAGCCAUACCGCGUGGGUGAAGAAGGCCUUAGAGUUGUAAAGCCCUUUUGUUGGGAAAGAAAAGCAGCAGGUUAAUACCCCGCUGUUCUGACGGUACCCAAAGAAUAAGCACCGGCUAACUUCGUG